GUCCUGGCCGUAAACGAUCUGUACUAGUCUGUGGAGACCCCCACAUCUUCACGGACGUAGCGAAAGUGUUAAGUACAGCGCCUGGGGAGUAUGGUCGCAAGGCUGAAACUCAAAGGAAUUGACGGGGGCUCACACAAGCGGAGGAGGAUGUGGCUUAAUUCGAGGCUACGCGAAGAACCUUACCUGGGCUCGAAGUGCUUGAGAAUCCCGGUGAAAGCCGGGAGUGCCUUUCGGGGAGCUCUUGCAUAGGUGCUGCAUGGCUGUCGU
rnacentral:rRNA from 1 species